AGUGAACGCUGGCGGUAGGCCUAACACAUGCAAGUCGAACGGCAGCACAGUAAGAGCUUGCUCUUACGGGUGGCGAGUGGCGGACGGGUGAGGAAUACAUCGGAAUCUACUUUUUCGUGGGGGAUAACGUAGGGAAACUUACGCUAAUACCGCAUACGACCUACGGGUGAAAGCAGGGGAUCUUCGGACCUUGCGCGAUUGAAUGAGCCGAUGUCGGAUUAGCUAGUUGGCGGGGUAAAGGCCCACCAAGGCGACGAUCCGUAGCUGGUCUGAGAGGAUGAUCAGCCACACUGGAACUGAGACACGGUCCAGACUCCUACGGGAGGCAGCAGUGGGGAAUAUUGGACAAUGGGCGCAAGCCUGAUCCAGCCAUGCCGCGUGGGUGAAGAAGGCCUUCGGGUUGUAAAGCCCUUUUGUUGGGAAAGAAAAGCAGCAGGUUAAUACCCCGCUGUUCUGGCGGUACCCAAAGAAUAAGCACCGGCUAACUUCGUG
rnacentral:rRNA from 1 species